GAAAACGCAACAUGGUUCUGGUGCACAGGCUCCUUUUUCGAGUCCUCUUUCUGCUCGCAAUCCUCGUAAUUGUUGCAGAGGUUUGGGGUGCGAAAACUAGCAAGCAGAAAUCAACCACCAAAGCCCUGAAAAAAAGGAUCAGGAAAUCGACAACUAGAACUACAGUCAGGCCAACAACCAUCUGGCCAAAAACCGAGAGUCCAUACGAAUUUUGCAGAAAUUACAAUCGAAUAAAUAAGAACCUAAAAGACACGGCACUAAGUGAAGGUUU